CUACGGGUUGCUGCAGCGGGGAAUAUUGGACAAUGGGCGAAAGCCUGAUCCAGCAAUGCCGCGUGUGUGAAGAAGGCCUGCGGGUUGUAAAGCACUUUCGGUUGGGAGGACUGCUUCUAGCACUAAUAUUGUUGGAAGUUGACGUUACCUUCAGAAGAAGCACCGGCUAACUCCGUGCCAGCAGCCGCGGUAAUACGGAGGGUGCAAGCGGUAAUCGGAAUUACUGGGCGUAAAGCGCGCGUAGGCGGCUAGAUCAGUCGGGUGUGAAAGCCCCGGGCUUAACCUGGGAACUGCAUCCGAUACUGUGUAGCUUGAGUACAGGAGAGGAGAGUGGAAUUCCACAUGUAGCGGUGAAAUGCGUAGAUAUGUGGAGGAACACCAAUGGCGAAGGCAGCUCUCUGGCCUGAUACUGACGCUGAGGUGCGAAAGCGUGGGGAGCAAACAGGAUUAGAUACCCCAGUAGUC
rnacentral:rRNA from 1 species